GUGCUUGCUUUGGCAGGAUAUAUGCUAAAAUUGAAAUGAAACAGAGAUCUGUAUGGCCCUUGUGCUAGGAUGAUAUGCAAAUUUGUGAAUCAUUCCAUAUUUUG